GGACUGGUACAAGUAUGCUGUUUCAGAGAAUCGAAGCAGAAAGCUUCCCAAUUUCCCUCCCAAAGACCCAAACCAAAAUUCUCAAUCUAGGCUUUUUUUCCCUUAUUCUUUAAUUUCUUUCUUUUUUUAUUAUUUUUUUUAUUGUUGGGUCUAUUUCUAUGGUGAGAAACCAUUGCUUUUGGUGCAAAAGACUGCAGAAGAAAAGAGAAACAGAGAUGAAACAUUAGUGUCUAGAUAAAAGAUUGGAGAAACUGAGAAAAUCACUAAAACCCAACUGGGGAGAUGGAAACCAGGAUAAAAAUUCUAAACCAGAGUUUCUUAAAACCCAGAAUUUCUUUUGGGCCAGAAACGAAGGUUCUUCACCAGGUUUUGUUAGUGAAGAGGUUGAUCAGUCACUCGCUAAUCUUGGGGUUCUUAAAAGGAAAGCUUGUUGGUGUGGAGAUUAUGAGGAAGUAACAAGUAAGGAAAUUGAAAGAGGAAAUGAAAAUUUUGGGGUAAAGGGUGGUGAAAUGAAGGUGAAAACAGGAAGAGAAAGAGAGAUGAUAUAAAGAAGAAGAAGGGAAGUGAAGAAGAAAAGGUUUUGGAGAUGGAGAAAAGGAAAGAUAGGUAAUUUGGGGAAUACCCUUUUUAUGGUUUGUUUUGAUAAUGGGAUUUGUAUUUUAGAAAAUGAUUUUCCCAUAUUUGUGGUUGGAGUUAAAUUUUGGGUAAAUUAAUAUGAAAUUACUGUUUUUUUGGGGCUGAAAUUUGAUUGCUUUAGAGCUUUUUUUGUCACCCCAUAGUUUGUUUCUAUUGUUAUUGGAUUUAAUUUGAUUGUUUUGGAGCUUUUCUGGUUGCACCAUAGUUUGUUUAUAUUAUAAUUUGAUUUUAUUGUAAUGUGGAACAAUGUGUGUUAAUUGUGAGUAGGCUAAAGUUUAUAUUUUGCGUGUUUUUUUUUCCUGGUCCCCUUUAGUAUGCUUUUGUUAUCAUUUCAUUUCAUUGUUGGUGAGUGAACUGUAUAAAACUAAAAAGUAGGGAAUUGAGUUUUGAGCAUUGCAUUUUGCUGCAUCCCCCAAUCAUAUGAUUUGCAGAGUGAAAGCUGGAUGAGAUUUGUUAGACUAAAUCUUAGUAAUUUAGUUCUUUGGUUUCCAUCACAAAUGCUGCUUUUGAAUCCAAUGGGAGUUAUGUUCAUAGUGGUGGUUCAUAGGGAAGCUAGAGUUUGCAGUGUUUUCAGGAAAGAAUCUUUCUAGCAAAUUGUCUUUGCCACACCUCACUUCGUGUCGAAUUUAAUUGCCUUGAACUUACAUCUUUGGUGAAUGACAAAAACCGUCACUAACAUGGGAAAUAGAGGCCUUAAUUUAUUGUAUUAGAUUAGUUAAAAGAGAUGACCCUCACUUUUUAGCUUCUAUCAUGUCAAUCACAAUUCUGACCUGGUAGAAGAUUGGAUUGCUAACAAUGUGACUAUCCCUUUUGAGGUCUAGUACUGUUAUAGAGUUAUGGAAGCAAUGAUUGGUGGAUUCUGGAUUAUAUUGUGUCUGUAUUUGUUUUAUCCCUGAGGGGGAAAACACCUGGAUGAGUGCAUCAUGAUACCAGUCAACUAUGUAAUUUGGUUGAUGCUAUUUUGUGGUAUUAGGUUCGUGAAAUGAUGUUAAGAUGUUCUUUCAAAAUUUUAAGAUUGUGAUCUUCAACCCUUGUGCUUAUGCAUAAAGUUAACUAUCAUUUUAUGUAUUUUACCAUAUUUAUGCGGCCAAGCCAGCAAAGAUAUUGCUAGAAAGAUAUACAUAGAAGGCAUUCCAUAUCGCUAUACUGAGGAUAAAAUUCGAAGUUAUUUUGAAUCCUGUGGCACCAUUGCUGAAGUUCAUUGCUGAAAUGCAAUUGUUACUUUUGAGACAGCUGCUGCAGCCAAACAAGCACUGUGGUUUCACCUAGCUUAUAUGGGUGGAUUGAAGAUUUUAGUUUCUCCAUACGACAGCAUGUGAGGGGAUUUGCACCGAAAAGGAUGGGAAGGGUCUAUGCUAAAACUGAUUAAUAUGGUUAGGUUUUAUCAACCUUCAGUUGCUUUUUGUGCCUAGAUGAGGUUCUGGUCGUGUUUUUUUGUGCCUUCAGAGCUGCCUGUGGCCGGGCAAAUUACAGCCAGGGGUAGCUAGAACGUGCUGGUUCUAGAGAUCAAGCUCAUCUGUGACUGUAUAUAAGACCUGUAAUGCUAUUUUUUGAAGCAGAUGAAUGAAAGCUUUGUUCAGUUUUGACUUUUAGUUGCUACAUUAUCAAAUCAUCUCCUUUCCUACUUCAAACUUGUUCAAUUUUUCCU